CUCCACCACUGUGGCCGUUCUCACCAAGGAGGGAAAGCUCAUCACCCCAGCAGCACAGAGCCCGCCUGCUGCGCAUCUUCAUCUCUGCCCACUUCACCAUUCUGCUUACACUUGACCUUCAGUGCACACAUUCAAGAUUAUUGUUAAUGCUAGAUUCAAGGGAGCAUCACACUGUCACUUCAACAUCUACAUUACAAAUACAUUUUGCCAUUGUGAGCAAAAAGAAAAUGCAAACUGAGAAGAACUAUUUAAUAUAAAUUAUGCUAACAUAAAUUAUAUCUGAUUUAUGACUAUACUCUUGAAAAAGCCUCUUUAGAUUAGAGAUAUAUUACUGUCUAGAAGCCAAAUCUAGCCUUCUUUUGUAUUUAAUUUUACUGGCACACAAUUUCAUUUUCACUUCUAUAUAUUCUCUGCUUUCUCAAUUCAUUUGUACAGAGUGUGGGAGACAUUGUGACCAGAACAGUCUAAAAUAUUUAUUAUCUGAUCCUUCAAAAACAAGAUAUAUGAUGGAUAGCCUUUCCUCUCUACCAGUGUUUCGUAAGAAUCUGAGUAUAAGUGCUGCCUUUGACAGAGAUGACAUGCUUAUACCAUGCGGGUGGCACAAAGCUGUGAAGUGGUGAUGACAGGGAUGAGCUUGGACAUCCUACGAGAGUGGCAAAGACUUUGGCAACAGGAAGAAUUCUUCAUAGAAGCAACAUGUGAUAGUAAAUAGCAAGAAGCACAGAACAUGGAAGGCCUUAGAAAGAUGAAUUCAAGUUCUAGUGCCAACAAGUGCUAAAAUAUGUGACUACAACUGUAAUCCAGGGGCUUAAUCAAGAGCCUGUAAGCCUUCCUCAUUCGUGAAAAGGACUCAGUUGACAAGAACGACAGACAACCAAACACAAUGUACUAGAAGCUAGUCAAAUCUUUUCCUCGGGGAGCUUUUCACUGUAAACUUGUUCUGGGUUGAAGCAAGAUGGAUUGCCUACUAGUGUGAGGUGGAAGAGCGUAUUAAACUUUACAUGGAGUCAAAGAUGUAGAUUUUCAAUUCCAAGUAGGAAAAAAAAGUCAAAGAGAUUAAAC
rnacentral:lncRNA from 1 species